GAAGGUGCACAGUUAUUCUGAACCAGAAGGACUAUGAAGAUAAGAUCAUGACACUCCUUAGCGACACGACCACAUACGAGCCGCUGAAGAGAGAUCCAGGAAGUGGGUACAAGAAGAAACUAAUAGAUUGCCUGAAAAGUUUAGAGCAGGACAAGGCUAUUAAUCGGAUUCUGUAUCAUAGACUUUAUCCAGAUGAGG